rnacentral:rRNA from 1 species
GAUGAACGCUGGCGGCGUGCCUAACACAUGCAAGUCGAGCGCGAUUAAGUGGAGUGAGAACUUCGGUUCAAGUGAAACUUAUGAAAGCGGCGGACGGGUGAGUAACGCGUGGGUAACCUGCCCCAUACAAAGGGAUAGCCACUGGAAACGGUGAUUAAUACCUUAUAAGUCGGUAGUCUCGCAUGAGACAGCCGACAAAGAUUUAUCGGUAUGGGAUGGACCCGCGUCUGAUUAGCUAGUUGGUGAGGUAACGGCUCACCAAGGCGACGAUCAGUAGCCGACCUGAGAGGGUGAUCGGCCACACUGGAACUGAGACACGGUCCAGACUCCUACGGGAGGCAGCAGUGGGGAAUAUUGCACAAUGGGCGCAAGCCUGAUGCAGCAACGCCGCGUGAGUGAUGAAGGCUUUCGGGUCGUAAAACUCUGUCCUAUGGGAAGAAAAAAUAGACGGUACCAUAGGAGGAAGCCCGGCUAACUACGUGCCAGCAGCCG